GUACGUAGGGGCAAGCGUUGUCCGGAAUCAUUGGGCGUAAAGAGCGUGUAGGCGGUUCGGUAAGUCGGCUGUGAAAGUCCAGGGCUCAACCCGUGGGAUGCCGGUCGAUACUGCCGGACUAGAGUUCGGAAGAGGCGAGUGGAAUUCCCGGUGUAGCGGUGAAAUGCGCAGAUAUCGGGAGGAACACCUAUGGCGAAGGCAGCUCGCUGGGACGUUACUGACGCUGGAGACGCGAAAGCGUGGGGAGCAAACAGG
rnacentral:rRNA from 1 species